UACGGGGGGGGCAAGCGUUGUUCGGAAUUACUGGGCGUAAAGGGCUCGUAGGCGGCCAACUAAGUCAGACGUGAAAUCCCUCGGCUUAACCGGGGAACUGCAUCUGAUACUGGAUGGCUUGAGUUCGGGAGAGGGAUGCGGAAUUCCAGGUGUAGCGGUGAAAUGCGUAGAUAUCCGGAGGAACACCAGCGGCGAAGGCGGCAUCCUGGACUGGUCCUGACACUCAGGAGCGAAAGCGUGGGGAGCGAUCCGG
rnacentral:rRNA from 1 species